AAGAGCACUACCUCGCACACUGCGCAUGCGCCACCUCGGGUGGCCUCAAGGUUGCUGUCGGGAGUUGGGUUUGAGAGAACACCACCACUAAUGGGAAGACUGCCCCCUGACCGGCACAUGGCCUCAGCAUUCAUCCACAGAUGCUCCUCAAAUUGUUUUAAAAACAGCUUUUUUUAAAAGCUGUUUGUCUAUGAAGAUUAAAUGAGUUAAUAAUAUAAGCAAAGCACUUUGCAUGGCUACUGGGCACGGUGGUUCAUGCCUGUAAUUCCAGCACUUUGGGAGGCCGAAGCAGGUGGAUCACCUGAGGUCAGGAGUUCAAGACCAGCCUGAUCAACAUGGCGAAACCCUGUCUCUAUUAAAAAUACAAAAAAAAUAGCCGGGCAUGGUGGCACGUGCCUGUAAUCCCAGCUACUUGGGAGGCUAAGGCAGGAGAAUCGCUUGAACCUGGGAGGCAGAGGUUGCAGUGAGCCGAGACCUCGCCG
ensembl:lncRNA LINC02606 long intergenic non-protein coding RNA 2606